UUGCUGGCUUUGAGAUCUUUGAUUUCAACAGCAUGGAGCAGCUGUGCAUCAACUUUCACUAAUGAGAAACUGCAACAGUUUUUCAACCACCACAUGUUUGUGCUGGAACAAGAGGAGUACAAGAAGGAGGGCAUUGUUUGGGAGUUCAUUGACUUUGGCAUGGACUUGGCUGCUUGCAUUGAGCUCAUUGAGAAGCCCAUGGGUAUCUUCUCCAUCCUUGAAAGAGGAGUGCAUGUUCCCCAAGGCUACAGACACUUCCUUCAAGAACAAGCUGUAUGAUCAGCAUCUUGGCAAGUGCAAUGCUUUCCAGAAACCAAAGCCUGCCAAAGGCAAGGCUGAGGCCCAUCUUCUCCCUGGUCCACUACGCUGGAACUGUGGACUACAACAUUUCUGGCUGGUUGGACAAGAACAAGGAUCCACUGAACGAGUCUGUUGUG